rnacentral:misc_RNA from 1 species
CGGGUUUCAGCGCAAAUCACUAAUCACUCGCAAAGUAAACUCACAUGACCCGCUUUGAUUAGCACAGGGAAAAGCCAUUCCUCUUUCCUUAUUGCCUGUGACUCCCAACAGAAAAUAACAAAGCAAGACAGGGAAGCCAACAAACAGAGCAGAAGAAAUCACAAGAGCAAGAGAUAUGACUCUGGGUCUCAUCAAUGCCAACCCGGUGGUUCAUGCUAAGAAGGAAAGGGUCGCCCGCACCGAAGAUCUUCACUGCGAUGACUCUGUGGAUCCACUUGAAAUCUAUGAUUUUGUGAGGGAUAUAAGAGAUCCAGAGCAUCCAUAUUCAUUGGAACAGCUCAGUGUUCUCUCAGAGGAA